CCUCGGAGCUUGUCGUCGUGCCGAUCCGGAAGUAGUGUCGUCUCGCCUCGCAAGAGAUUCGUCGAAGCCGUGAGAUCUUGAGCAUGAGCACUAGAUAUCGAUGUUCUGAAACUCCCUAGAGCUCUUUCGUCGUUAUUGUCGGGCAUCGCAUGACGGUAUUGCGUUUGAUGAUUUAAUAUCAACUCCGAGGCGGAACUGGGUGGCUGUGGGUGGUGCAACAAUGGAGGGCGAUGGAAUAGCUGGGGGUGAUGGCGGGGUAGAGCGGGAUGGUAUGCAUAGGCAGCAGCAGCAACAGCAACAGCAAGUGUUCAACUCUGCAUCGCCCAUUGCACAGGUCUUGUCAUUCUGGAAAGAUUUUGAUUUGGAGAAUUGGAGGACUCAAUUGGACAAGCAAGCUUUGGAGAUUGAUAAAAAUCAGGAGAACAGUCUCAAGAAUCGUCGCAAGCUUGCUGAGACCACACGAGAAUAUAAAAAAGCUUCUGUUGAGGAGAAAAUCAAAUCAGCUCCAGCACUGCUUAAGGGGUAUCAAGAGGAGGUGGACAACCUUACGAAAAGGGCAAAGUUUGGAGAGAAUGCUUUUCUUCAUAUUUAUCAGAAGCUCUAUGAGGCUGCUGACCCCGUUCCUGCUCUUACCACUGGCACAGAGUCAGCAGCAAAAGUGGCUGAGCUGGAACUGGAGAACCGCAAGAUGAAGCAAGAGUUGGAGGAGUACCGCUUAGAGGCUGCCCAUCUGAAGAAUCAACAAGCGACUAUAAGACGUUUGGAAGAACGAAAUCGUUCUCUGGAACAACAGAUGGAGGAGAAAAUUAAGGAAAUCGUGGAGAUGAAACAGCGCAGCUUGGCAGAGGAGAAUCAGAAAAGCUUGGAAAUAUUACGAGACAGGGAAGAGUUUUUACAAGGGCAGUUGCGGGCAGCUAAAGAGAGUGUACAGAAUAUGCAGAGGCUUCAUGAAUACGGGCAGAGUCAGCUGUUUGAGUUGCGCGCUCAAUCUGAGGAGAUCAGUGCAAAUAAGCAGUCAGAACUGAAUCUGUUGACGGAUGAAGUGGACCGUGCGCAGGCCCGGCUUCUGAGUCUGGAGAGAGAAAAGGAGCAAUUGCGGUCGCAGCUGCAGGCAGUUCACAGUCAAGAUUCACAACUACAGGAGCGGCUUGAUGAGGAGGCUAACAGCAGUCUAGAAGCAUCUCUGACUGCUAAAGAGAAAAUCAUCUCUGAGCUCCACCAUGAAUUGCACACUAUGGAAACUUCUUUGGGAAGUGAGCGUGAACAGCAUAUUGCUGAAGUGAAGAAACUGAAAGCACUUCUGAGUGAGAAGGAUACUGCUCUUGAAGAGCUCCAGCGGGAAAUCAGUGAAAGACCGACGGCCAAGCAAGUGGAAGACUUGAGGAAACAAGUUAAAAUCUUGCAGGCAGUGGGUUAUAAUUCUGUAGAGGCUGAAGACUGGGAGCUAGCCACUCGAGGUGAGGAUAUUGGGAAACUAGAGACUCUCUUACUUGAUAAGAACCGAAAGAUGGAACAUGAACUUACGCAAGUCAAGGUACAAUUACUGGAGAAAACUCAGGCAGCGUCUGCAGCAGACCAGAAGAUUCAUAAUCUUGAGGCUAAAGUGGCAGAGCAAAAGACUCUGAUUGUCAAGUUGGAGGAAGAUAUCCUAAAGGGAUACGGACCUUCACAUGAUCGUCGGCAUGUCAAGCAAUCAGAUGACUGGGACUUACCAGAUUCAGUAGGGUCAGACAUGCUAGAUCAUAGUGGAUCCGGAAAGGCAGCGGAUGAAGAUGAGCAGAACUCGAUGUUGACGGUCAUAUGUAGUCAACGUGAUCGCUUCAGAACACGGUUACGGGAAACCGAAGAAGAGCUAAGGAUGGCAAGGGACAGGUGCCAAGCAUUGACAGCAGACCUUGAGCGUAGUAGGGCUGAUAACGUGAAACUGUAUGAGAAGAUGCGUUUUGUGCAGGACUACACCCAAGAGAGGCCCAGUAAAGGGCGAUCAGGAAAGAAGCGUGGAGAGGAUCUGGAAUCAGGCGUGACUGGAGAUGUGGAGAGCAAAUAUAAGAAGAUGUAUGAAGACGACAUCAAUCCUUUCACAGCAUUCUCUAAAAAGGAGAAAGAACGGAGAUACAAGGAGCUGGGGAUUCGGGAUAAAAUCACUUUGACAAGCGGCCGCUUUCUUCUCGGCAAUAAGUAAGGAACCGGAUCCCCUCUUUCCUCAGCGCAAGUGUACGGCCAUCAUUGAGAUUGUCCGUGAAAUUUCAGUACUAGCGUGAAAAUUUAAUGAAAUUUGGUACCACUGGACAGUGCAAUCAAAGAGCGAGAGAUUGCAUACAAGUUUGCUGGAGCAGAAAACAUCCGAGAAUAUUUCCAAGCCAACGGAACAUCCGGGUCGGUUUUGUAGUUGCUUUACUUGGUUUUCUUAUGCUCUUGACAGGUUGUAGAGAUCAUUUGUAGUAGAUUUUCCAACAUUAUUUUUGAAUAUCUUGCGUUGGUUUCUCCAGCUUUAGAUAGUUGACAUAUAUGGAUAGCAUGACAUUUUGAUGUUGCAAUUACACAACAUUUCACCAUAUGCAUAUGGCGUACAGAACACAUGCACCCAGUGUCGUGAAAGACUCUGGGCGAAGUUUAAUUGCUACACCACUUGUCCUGAAUAUGUAGUAUGGUAUUUAUUCACUUUUCGUACGGGUCAAUAGUAGUAGUUCGACCCCUUUGCUCUUUUGAAUUAAAUUUUUUGGAACGUACCCUUCAUACGUCA